AAUAAUUUAAUCGCAUAAUGAAUAUUAUAAAUAUUAUAAAUAUUUCUUUUCUCUCUCUAAUAGCAAACCAAUCCUGCCUAUGAAUUUAGCGCGUUGAUAAUCCAUCUCCUCUUUUUGGUGGUGUAAAGAAAGAUUCAAAAUUCAAUUUUACAUUAUGAGCUGAAAAAUUCUCUGUAACUUUACAAGAGUCAUUCAAUUAGAGAGUCAUUCAAUAGUUAAAGAGAUAAGAUUGGUCUGGAGAAAAAACGUUUGGUAGGACAAGUUUGGUACUUUUAGGACUUUAAGUUGGCAUUACUAGGAUGAGCGCUGAUCAGCUGAUAGAUCAACAUUGCUAUGUUGAUAACCUCAAAAUUAAGUUUAACCAUGGCGAGUCCACUUAAAAAUUCUUUAUUGUUUGAACAACGUUCUGUGAUUUGUUUUUUACUUGCUGAAGGUGAAAAACCAGCUAAUAUGUACUCUAGAAUGUCUAAAGUGUAUGGUGAAAGUUAUAUGAACCGUGGAAAUUUUUACAGGUGGGUAGAACCUUAGAACAUAUAGUACUGGAACGAGCAUAGCCCUAUCAGCCCCGUGCAUUUGAUUGUCCGAGAAUAGAUUGAUGGAGAGAUGAUGGUCCUAACUUGUAAUGCGCAUGCUCCAUACAGAUGCACGGUCGCCAUCCAAGGCUUCUAAGCUAACCUUCAAUUGAGCUUUGUAAGUAUUGAGUUGUAUUGAGUUCAGGACGCGUAAUCAAAGAACCCCUUUGGAAGAAUUGAACACUAUUCUACGAAAUUGUGACAAUAAUGUAUUGCUACAUUUGCAAGGAACGAGAUCGGGCGUCUACAUAUCACAUAUUUAUAGUCAACGGCCCUAAAAAUCUUUAGACGUGAAUUAGAUAAAUAUUCCUAAAGAAAAGUCAUGCAUAAAAAGGUUAGUUUUCUUAACCCUUUAUAACUUAAAACCCAUCAUUUCUUUUAUUCUUUACUUUCCAAUAUACGCUAUAAUAAAAGAUCGAAAUCUCAACUUACAGCAGCGUGUUUUUCGGACGUCGAUUUUCUUCUACCAAGUUUUAAAUCAGCAGCAAAACGCAUCGCCUCUAAAACCGUGAGGUUCGGUUGUGUAAGAUCUUCUUGCAUGAUGUAACACGACAUCUUUUUGAACUCGUUCAUGUCUCGUAUUUGUCCAUUGAUACUUAUUGAACCACCCAUCUCCGUACAUC